GCCUCAGUAGCUCAGUCGGUAGAGCGCGUGCUUGGUACGGCCGUCACGUCGGCCGGCGGACGUGUGCCACGUUCGCUUCGCUCAGUGACACAUAACCCCAAACAGCACGAGGUCCUGGGUUCAAUUCCCAGCUGGGGCU
rnacentral:tRNA from 1 species